AUCACAUUUAGAAAUUUUUAUAUUCAUGCAGGGCCCGCAUGUAUUAUGAGGGGGACACCGUUCGGUACAUUUAGUUUAAUUCUAUUAUGAAACUAUAUCUAGCAUUACAGGUGGCACUGCAAAAUUCUUCUUCUUCAACACAAUCAAUAUUAUAAACUUACUUGUACAUCUAGAUUAUAAUAUCAAAGAACUAUGCUUGGCAAACAGGGCCACGAAGGCCAGAAGGCACCCUGCCAAUGGGUGGGGGACACAUGUCCCUCCAGACAACCAAGGCCUACGUGACCAUGUUUGUUUAGAAUUAUUGAAUAUCAAAAUAACAUAAAAAUGUAUAACAAUCAAAAUACGAUUAAAUAUGUCAUUACAAAGUGCCUAGUCUCAAUAUAGUUUCUAACUUCAUUCUCUUAACUCUCACAUUACCUAUGCAGCAGCGACACAGGUACUUCUCCCGAGGCUAGUUAGUGUUGCCAAUUGGAGAAAUAACUGUAUUCGAAAGGAGAUCUUAAAAGAGGUAAGUUUCAAACAUCAUCAUAGUAUUAACUUUGAAGAAAGGAUAAAUCAAAGCCAUUUUAUGAGAUGAGUUAUGGAGAUACACACGCAGCAAAUGCAUUCAUGCUUUUACAAUGUAGCGCUAUAACCCUUCAGGUGUAGUUUUCAGAUUAGCAUAUAGGAGUGGGCACACCACAGAUGUUAGCAACCUUCUGACAUUGGGAGCGUUAACACAGUGACUCAGGCUUGGAUUUCUUAUAUACCCACUAAGGCAAGGUUCUUGCACCUUCAGCUUGCAUCCGAAGGAUGUAGCGACAACAUUAUUACCCCACGCAUGUGUUGGGGAGAAAACGCGUGGGUCGAGUUUGGUUGACAAAUAAUGGAAUUGAGAAAAUACAGCUAAAAAUAGACACAGGUAUUUACGUGGUUCACCCAAUUUAGGCUACGUCCACGAACAAGUAUGGGAUGAUUCACUAUAGUAGGAGAAUUACAAUAAUCUCUCUAAAUACAAGGAGAUAACAAUGAAUAAUCUCUCUUGUAAUAGGAGAAAACAAGUAAGAAAAAAAAAGAACUUAGGAGAAAAACAAUAAAUUUUCUCUCUUCUCUUCUUUUCACCUUACAAUUUUUCUCUCUUAAUUUUUCCUCUCCAUAUGACACACC
rnacentral:lncRNA from 1 species